rnacentral:rRNA from 1 species
UGGGAAGUAAUAGUCGUAACAAGGUUUCCGUAGGUGAACCUGCGGAAGGAUCAUUACCGAGUGCGGGCCCCUCGGGGCCCAACCUCCCACCCGUGUUGCCCGAACCUAUGUUGCCUCGGCGGGCCCCGCGCCCGCCGACGGCCCCCCUGAACGCUGUCUGAAGUUGCAGUCUGAGACCUAUAACGAAAUUAGUUAAAACUUUCAACAACGGAUCUCUUGGUUCCGGCAUCGAUGAAGAACGCAGCGAAAUGCGAUAACUAAUGUGAAUUGCAGAAUUCAGUGAAUCAUCGAGUCUUUGAACGCACAUUGCGCCCUCUGGUAUUCCGGAGGGCAUGCCUGUCCGAGCGUCAUUGCUGCCCUCAAGCCCGGCUUGUGUGUUGGGCCCCGUCCCCCCCGCCGGGGGGACGGGCCCGAAAGGCAGCGGCGGCACCGCGUCCGGUCCUCGAGCGUAUGGGGCUUCGUCACCCGCUCUAGUAGGCCCGGCCGGCGCCAGCCGACCCCCAACCUUUAAUUAUCUCAGGUGACCUCGGAUCAAUAAGUAGCCCGCUCUCA